CACACACACACACACACACACACACACACACACACACACACAUACAUACAUACAUACAUACAUACAUAUACACACCUUUACAUUUAAAAAAAAUGUUUUCCUUUAUUACCCUCCAACCCUAUCACCCCCUCCCCAAUUGGAGCAAAAUAGUCAACAACAACGCUUAGGUGUGUUUUUACAGCUUAUACAAACUACAUUUUAUUUUACAAUAGUUCUAUUUUGUUUGUUUUUACUCCUGUCCGUCCUCAACUUCUCCCAUCUAUUUCUGAUGUCCAUACGGUUUGAUUUCUAUUAGCCAUGUCUUUCUAACUAUGCUCUUUCACAUAAGUUCUUAAACUAUAUACGUUUUAUGGGCACAGUAUGUUUAACAUUAGUUCUCGUGUUAUUAUUAAAGAAAAACCCUUGAAUGAAUAGGUUUGUCCAAACUUUUGACUGGUACUUUCUAUUAAAGGAACACCUAAUUUUACAAGACUCAUAUUACACCUUUAGACAACAGCAGAAAUAAACAUGAGGUUGGAGUAUCUUUCAGAUACAAAGGCCCAACUGACUGGAAUAAUUUACCUAUUGAAAUCAGGGUAUUCAAAUUACACAUUGAAGAAUUAAGAAAGACCUUUUUCAAAUGUUAAGAACAAACUGUUUUUAACUAAUCGAAACAUCACCACGUGAAGAUAAUUGCAUGUUUUUAUUUGUAUUGUUAUGUAAGUUAUAUACAUGUUUUUAUUUGUGUUGCUAUGUAAGUUAUAUACAUGUUUUUAUUUGUAUUGCUAUGUAAGUUAUAUACAUGUUUUAUUAUUAUUGUUAUACAGUAGCUGCUGUAUUAUUAUAGUUGUUAAGUUGAGUUUUUUCAUUUGGACACUUGAAAACGAGAUGGUUCCACUCAAGAUAUUUCAUCGUGCAAAAUGUUGAAUAAAUACAUUGGUAGUUACAUCCAUGUACGUGCGUGCAAAUGUAUGAGAAAAUGACAGUUUGGGCUAUAUUUGUGUGCAGUGCUAAGAGGUUGAAAUUGUACAAAAUCGGGAAGAUUGCACCUUUCCCUAAUAAACAUGAAGUGGUGCCAGUGGCGUCC